rnacentral:rRNA from 1 species
AGAGUUUGAUCCUGGCUCAGGAUGAACGCUGGCGGCGUGCUUAACACAUGCAAGUCGAACGAAGCUUGUCUUUUUAAUCUUCGGAAGCGAGAGAUAAGACUGAGUGGCGGACGGGUGAGUAACGCGUGGGGGACCUGCCUUAUACUGAGGGAUAGCAGUUGGAAACGACUGGUAAAACCGCAUAAGCGCACAGUAUCGCAUGGUACAGUGUGAAAAACUCCGGUGGUAUAAGAUGGCCCCGCGUCUGAUUAGGCAGUUGGUGAGGUAACGGCCCACCAAACCGACGAUCAGUAGCCGACCUGAGAGGGUGACCGGCCACAUUGGGACUGAGACACGGCCCAGACCCCUACGGGAGGCAGCAGUGGGGAAUAUUGCACAAUGGAGGGAACUCUGAUGCAGCGACGCCGCGUGAGUGAAGAAGUAUUUCGGUAUGUAAAGCUCUUUCGGCAGGGAAGAUAAUGACGGUACCUGCAGAAGAAGCACCGGCUAAAUACGUGCCAGCAGCCGCGGUAAUACGUAUGGUGCAAGCGUUAUCCGGAUUUACUGGGUGUAAAGGGGGCGCAGGUGGCUGUGCAAGUCAGAAGUGAAAGCCCGGGGCUCAACCCCGGGACUGCUUUUGAAACUGUGCAGCUAGAGUGCAGGAGAGGUGAGUGGAAUUCCCAGUGUAGCGGUGAAAUGCGGAGAUAUUGGGAAGAACACCAGUGGCGAAGGCGGCUCACUGGACUGUAACUGACACUGAGGCCCGAAAGCGUGGGGAGCGAACAGGAUUAGAUACCCUGGUAGUCCACGCUGUAAACGAUGAAUACUAGGUGUUGGGUGGCCAAGCCAUUCAGUGCCGACGCAAACGCAAUAAGUAUUCCACCUGGGGAGUACGUUCGCAAGAAUGAAACUCAAAGGAAUUGACGGGGACCCGCACAAGCGGUGGAGCAUGUGGUUUAAUUCGAAGCAACGCGAAGAACCUUACCAGAUCUUGAAAAUGUGGAGAGAUCCCUGUAAUGGGGACAACUCGAUGAAGCAGCUAGGUGGUGCAUGGUUGUCGUCAGCUCGUGUCGUGAGAUGUUGGGUUAAGUCCCGCAACGAGCGCAACCCUUGUCCUCAGUAGCCAGCGGCCAGGCCGGGCACUCUGAGGAGACCGCCAGGGAUAACCUGGAGGAAGAUGGGGAUGACGUCAAAUCAUCAUGCCCCUUUACGAUCUGGGCCACACACGUGCUACAAUGGCGUAACAAAGAGAAGCAAGAGGGCGACCUUAAGCGAAUCUCAAAAAUAACGUCUCAGUUCGGACUGCAGUCUGAAACCCGACUGCACGAAGCUGGAAUCGCUAGUAAUCGCAGAUCAGCAUGCUGCGGUGGAUACGUUCCCGGGUCUUGUACACACCGCCCGUCACACCAUGGGAGUCGGAAAUGCCCGAAGCCGGUGGCCCAACCCGCAAGGGAAGGAGCCGUCGAAGGCAGGUCCGGUAACUGGGGUGAAGUCGUAACAAGGUAGCCGUAUCGGAAGGUGCGGCUGGAUCACCUCCUU